rnacentral:rRNA from 1 species
AGUGAACGCUGGCGGCAGGCCUAAUACAUGCAAGUCGAACGGCAGCACAGCAGAGCUUGCUCUGUGGGUGGCGAGUGGCGGACGGGUGAGGAAUACAUGGGAAUCUGCCCAGUCGUGGGGGAUAACGUAUGGAAACGUACGCUAAUACCGCAUGCGCCCUUUGGUGGAAAGCCGGGGACCUUCGGGCCUGGCGCGAUUGGAUGAGCCCAUGUUCGAUUAGCUAGUUGGCGGGGUAAAGGCCCACCAAGGCGACGAUCGAUAGCUGGUCUGAGAGGAUGAUCAGCCACACUGGGACUGAGACACGGCCCAGACUCCUACGGGAGGCAGCAGUAGGGAAUAUUGGACAAUGGGCGCAAGCCUGAUCCAGCCAUGCCGCGUGAGUGAAGAAGGCCCUCGGGUUGUAAAGCUCUUUUGUCCGGAAAGAAAAGCAUUCGGUUAAUACCCGGGUGUUCUGACGGUACCGGAAGAAUAAGCACCGGCUAACUUCGUG